UCCGGGUGAGUGUCCCCGCCCAUUGGGGACCGAUCCCUCCCACCCUGUCUCAGGCUGCCUUCCACACAGCUCCAGCUGUCAGGCUGCCCUGCACCCGCUCUGCACAGCCUCCCCACAUGCUCGCUGCCAGCCUAGACCAGACCUGGAUCUAGGAAGACGCUGCACCCCGGUUUCUGAGCCCCACAGAGGUAGUUGGUAAUGCAUAGACUCAACUCUUCAAACACUACUAAGAACAAGCAACUGUGUACGAUGGUGUAACUACUGUUUCAUCAUAGCUGAGGGAAAGCCUAACAGAUUUUAUGUCCUAUGAAGUCAGAACAAACAAAAGAUGGCUUAGGAAUUCUACAAGCAAAAUAUUCUCACCCACAAAGACCAGGUUGCUGUAAUUCUCCACCAUCACAUCAAUGUA